rnacentral:rRNA from 1 species
AUUGAACGCUGGCGGCAGGCCUAACACAUGCAAGUCGAACGAGUGGCGGACGGGUGAGUAAUGUCUGGGAAACUGCCCGAUGGAGGGGGAUAACUACUGGAAACGGUAGCUAAUACCGCAUACCAUCGGAUGUGCCCAGAUGGGAUUAGCUAGUAGGUGGGGUAACGGCUCACCUAGGCGACGAUCCCUAUCUGGUAUGAGAGGAUGACCAGCCCCACAGGAACGGAGACACGGUCCAGAAUCCUACGGGAGGCAGCAGUGGGGAAUAUUGCGCAAUGGGGGCAACCCUGAGGCAGCCAUGCCGCGUGAGUGAAGAAGGCAUUCGGGUUGUAAAGUUCUUUCGGUGGCGAGGCGUUAACUACAGAAGAAGCACCGGCUAACCCCGUGCCAGCAGGCGCGGUAAUUA